rnacentral:rRNA from 1 species
GACGGAGGAUGCAAGCGUUAUCCGGAAUGAUUGGGCGUAAAGCGUCCGCAGGUGGCAGUUCAAGUCUGCUGUCAAAGACCGGGGCUUAACUUCGGAAAGGCAGUGGAAACUGAACAGCUAGAGUAUGGUAGGGGCAGAGGGAAUUCCUGGUGUAGCGGUGAAAUGCGUAGAGAUCAGGAAGAACAGCGGUGGCGAAGGCGGCCUGCUGGGCUGUUGCUGACGCUGAGGCGCGAAAGCGUGGGGAGCAAACAGG